rnacentral:rRNA from 1 species
GUGUCAGCAGCCGCGGUAAGACGUAGGAUGCAAGCGUUGUCCGGAUUUAUUGGGCGUAAAGAGUUCGUAGGUGGUUCGUUAAGUCUGAUGUUAAAGACUGGGGCUCAACCCUGGAAGUGCAUUGGAUACUGGCGGACUUGAGUGUGGUAGAGGCAAUCGGAAUUCCAGGUGUAGCGGUGAAAUGCGUAGAUAUCUGGAAGAACACCGGUGGCGCAAGCGGAUUGCUGGGCCAUAACUGACACUGAGGAACGAAAGCUAGGGGAGCGAAUGGGAUUAGAUACCCCAGUAGUCC